AGAGUUUGAUCCUGGCUCAGAUUGAACGCUGGCGGUAUGCUUAACACAUGCAAGUCGAACGGAAACGAAACUAGCUUGCUAGUAGGCGUCGAGUGGCGGACGGGUGAGUAACGCGUAGGAAUCUGCCUGAUAGUGGGGGAUAGCCCGAAGAAAUUCGGAUUAAUACCGCAUAAUCUAUUCGUAGUAAAGUGGGGGACUUUCGAGCCUCACGCUAUCAGAUGAGCCUGCGUAAGAUUAGCUUGUUGGUAGGGUAAAAGCCUACCAAGGCAACGAUCUUUAGCUGGUCUGAGAGGAUGAUCAGCCACAUCGGGACUGAGACACGGCCCGAACUCCUACGGGAGGCAGCAGUGGGGAAUAUUGGACAAUGGGGGCAACCCUGAUCCAGCAAUACCGCGUGUGUGAAGAAGGCCUGAGGGUUGUAAAGCACUUUCAAUUGUGAAGAAAAGUUAACGGUUAAUAACCGUUGACCUUGACGUUAACUUUAGAAGAAGCACCGGCUAACUCCGUGCCAGCAGCCGCGGUAAUACGGAGGGUGCAAGCGUUAAUCGGAAUUACUGGGCGUAAAGCGUGCGUAGGCGGUUUAUUAAGUCAGAUGUGAAAGCCCCGGGCUUAACCUGGGAACUGCAUUUGAAACUGGUCAACUAGAGUAUGGUAGCGGAAAGUGGAAUUUCUGGUGUAGCGGUGAAAUGCGUAGAUAUCAGAAGGAACAUCAAUGGCGAAGGCAGCUUUCUGGACCAAUACUGACGCUGAGGUACGAAAGCGUGGGUAGCAAACAGGAUUAGAUACCCUGGUAGUC
rnacentral:rRNA from 1 species